UUAAAUCGUUGAGGCUUUAGAAACUUUGUAACCUGAUCAGUUUGGAAUGCAAUCGAUUACAAUAUCUUGUUUGAAGACAAAAGACCGCGUAUUUUUUUCCAAAGCACACACUCAACACAUAGGAAAUAAUAAAUCUAUUCCACGCAAAUAUUUUUCAGCAAUUUGUUAAAUUUAGUUUAUCUUAACUAUUCGCGCGUUAGAAACCACUCGAAAACCAUUCCGACAUGCUAAUGAUCUGGUACAAAAUUAUAAUCUGUACUUAAUAGUCACUAAAAAUACCUCAAAGGCUCACGUACUAGCAGAAAAUGAGAAAAUCGAAAGCAGAUAUUGGACUCCUGUAAAAUAUUUUCAGUAUCUAAGGCACUAAAACUAAUUUUGUUUGGAAGAUAGCAGUUGAUAUUUGUUAUUAAGUGAAAAAUCAGGCUUUUAGUUUGUAAUAACAUUUACUGGCU